CGUUGAGAAGCUAAAAUCAGCGCUAGCCUUUUAAGCUAGAGACUGGAAGCAUAACACUUCCCUUGACGA
rnacentral:tRNA from 1 species